rnacentral:sRNA from 1 species
UAAGAAGGGGCUUCUGCUAAAUUCAUGCAUGUCCUGUGCACAACGCAGAAACCAUCGCAUUCUGAGGA